AGCUUGCCCUUUCCUCUGUAUGAUAAAUCCCAGGAUGAUGUGGUCACUUCCACCUAAGCUUUCUUUUUUACUUUCUACCUCAUUGACCAGUUGUUCCCUAUUGGUGCGGAUCAGGUCCAAGACAGUUAAUCUCCUUCAUGCUUCUUCCAGCGGCUGGAAAGUAAAAUUGUCAGCAAGGCAACAAUGGAAGUAAGCAGAAGAUGAAGGGGAAAAUAGGAGCAGAGAGGAGAAUGGCACAUUUUAAGCAACUGAAAAAGUGGGACAACAAAAUGAUUAAUUGGGACUGUUCCUGACAACCAGCAGAAGAAGAGGAGCAGUACCUGGGGAAUCCAGAGAAGGAAUUGGAUACAUAUCAAAAGAUCAGCCCAGUAGAUCAGCUUUCAACUGUGGGGCUGGAAACACAAUUAAAGCUGACUUCAAAAACUUUGGUGCUCUGGGUGGAAUAAACUCUCUAACAUAAACUGGA